rnacentral:rRNA from 1 species
UGGCUCAGGAUGAACGCUGGCGGCGUGCCUAAUACAUGCAAGUCGAACGAGUUCUCGUUGAUGAUCGGUGCUUGCACCGAGAUUCAACAUGGAACGAGUGGCGGACGGGUGAGUAACACGUGGGUAACCUGCCCUUAAGUGGGGGAUAACAUUUGGAAACAGAUGCUAAUACCGCAUAGAUCCAAGAACCGCAUGGUUCUUGGCUGAAAGAUGGCGUAAGCUAUCGCUUUUGGAUGGACCCGCGGCGUAUUAGCUAGUUGGUGAGGUAAUGGCUCACCAAGGCGAUGAUACGUAGCCGAACUGAGAGGUUGAUCGGCCACAUUGGGACUGAGACACGGCCCAAACUCCUACGGGAGGCAGCAGUAGGGAAUCUUCCACAAUGGACGCAAGUCUGAUGGAGCAACGCCGCGUGAGUGAAGAAGGCUUUCGGGUCGUAAAACUCUGUUGUUGGAGAAGAAUGGUCGGCAGAGUAACUGUUGUCGGCGUGACGGUAUCCAACCAGAAAGCCACGGCUAACUACGUGCCAGCAGCCGCGGUAAUACGUAGGUGGCAAGCGUUAUCCGGAUUUAUUGGGCGUAAAGCGAGCGCAGGCGGUUUUUUAAGUCUGAUGUGAAAGCCCUCGGCUUAACCGAGGAAGCGCAUCGGAAACUGGGAAACUUGAGUGCAGAAGAGGACAGUGGAACUCCAUGUGUAGCGGUGAAAUGCGUAGAUAUAUGGAAGAACACCAGUGGCGAAGGCGGCUGUCUGGUCUGUAACUGACGCUGAGGCUCGAAAGCAUGGGUAGCGAACAGGAUUAGAUAC